GAUGAACGCUGGCGGCGUGCCUAAUACAUGCAAGUCGAGCGAACGGACGAGAAGCUUGCUUCUCUGAUGUUAGCGGCGGACGGGUGAGUAACACGUGGAUAACCUACCUAUACGACUGGGAUAACUUCGGGAAACCGGAGCUAAUACCGGAUAAUAUUUUGAACCGCAUGGUUCACAAGUGAAAGACGGUCUUGCUGUCACUUAUAGAUGGAUCCGCGCUGCAUUAGCUAGUUGGUAAGGUAACGGCUUACCAAGGCAACGAUGCAUAGCCGACCUGAGAGGGUGGUCGGCCACACUGGAACUGAGACACGGUCCAGACUCCUACGGGAGGCAGCAGUAGGGAAUCUUCCGCAAUGGGCGAAAGCCUGACGGAGCAACGCCGCGUGAGUGAUGAAGGUCUUCGGAUCGUAAAGCUCUGUUAUUAGGAAAGAACAUAUGUGUAAGUAACUGUGCACAUCUUGACGGUACCUAGACAGAAAGCCACGGCUAACUACGUG
rnacentral:rRNA from 1 species